CCCCCGGGCGGCCAACCCGCGGGGAGACCCACCCCCACCCGAAGCCGGGUCCAAUGGCGGCCGGGCGAGGCGGGACUUCCGUCAGGGUAGAGCGAAGGGGGCGGGCGCGCGGGGGGAUCUGGGGGCUCCGAGGGGGCGAGUGUGAGCCUCUCGACUCUCACAGGCUUCGCCUCCGGGCUGUGAGAGCGGGAGGGCCUUCGGGUCGUCUGCGCGCCCGCCCCGCGCCUCCCGCUGCCAGUGAGCUCACAGGGCUCGAAUCAGGGCUGACCCGGGAACGAAAUCCAUCCCGCUCGAGUCCUGGGCUCCCACCCGCCUUCUGGCCGCGGCUCGUUGCCACGCCUCUUCUAGCUUCCCCAUCUCCCCCUCCCCAACCCCCUCAGAUCUUGUUUCUUCAGGGAGAUGAUGAGAAUUUCUGCCUCACGAGAUUGUUACGAGCGUGAAAUCUACGUGAUGGCGCGUUGGAAACGGUACUCGGCUAGGGAAAGGACCAGGGGGCCCUUGCAGGUCGGAGUGCUGCUGGGCGGCUGUGAAGGUCACGCCCCCUCCCUCUCCGCCCUCACGGCUCAGAAGCGAGAGAGGGCCUUAAGCUCUGUUCUGUGCAGCAGUCCUCGAAGUGAGGCUCCUCCUGUGUGAGUUCAGUGAAUUCCAGCUUCAAAAGGAGAGAUCUCGGUAGGGGAUAGCUCUGAAGCUGGGUCACCAUUUUCAGCUGGAAGGCCCUAAAAUGUGCUUUUAAGAUGUGGCCAUAUCCCGUUAUUUUUGUCCAAACACUUAAAUUCAAGUAUUUAUUAUUAUUUACUUUCUCUCUGCGUUGGACCGAAGGGUGAGGGAGUUUUUUCCCUGAAGGUUCUUUCCUGUUCUUGAGCCGUGGGACUAUUGUUAAUGAAUGGCUGGAUCCGGUGAGGCUGAUAAAAUGACCCAUUUUAUAUCCAGAGCGACUGACCAAGGUAAAGAACUUUUCAAGUUGAGCUGUGAAAUUCUGUCAAAUGGCUUUUCCAGAACUGAACUGUGCCAUUUGUUCCAAGUUUUGCAAAACUCAGUGAAUGCUCAGAAUUUCUGCCUUGGGUAUGAGUUCUGUAUAUGCAGAAAGACAAAAGGAAAUUGAGUUUUAAAAGUAAAACUCAAUGCUGAAACCCUAUGGCGGUUUAAGUAUUAUUAGAACUGGUAGAAGAAUUUCUGGCGCAGUAAGUCACAAGGAUGACAGAGAAUCUCUAGGACUGGGAAGCAGUAAGGAUUAGAGAAGGUGUGGAGAGGACAUUCUGGUUGCCUCCAGGUCAUGAGCUGAGUGAUGGUUUUACAAUGGGUUUACUCUUGGACUGCAAGGAGAUCCAACCAGUCCAUUCUGAAAGAGAUCAGCCCUGGGAUUUCUUUGGAAGGAAUGAUGCUAAAGCUGAAACUCCAGUACUUUCGCCACCUCAUGCGAA